rnacentral:rRNA from 1 species
UACGUAGGGUGCAAGCGUUGUCCGGAAUUAUUGGGCGUAAAGAGCCUCGUAGGCGGUUUGUCGCGUCGAAUGUGAAAACCCGGGGCUCAACCCCGGGCCUGCAUCCGAUACGGGCAGACUAGAGUUCGGUAGGGGAGUCUGGAAUUCCUGGUGUAGCGGUGAAAUGCGCAGAUAUCAGGAGGAACACCGGUGGCGAAGGCGGGACUCUGGGCCGAUACUGACGCUGAGGAGCGAAAGCGUGGGGAGCAAACAGG